rnacentral:rRNA from 1 species
UACAGAGGUGGCAAGCGUUGUUCGGAAUUACUGGGCGUAAAGGGCGCGUAGGCGGCCUUCUAAGUCGGACGUGAAAUCCCCAGGCUUAACUUGGGAACUGCGUCUGAUACUGGGAGGCUUGAGUGCGGGAGAGGGAUGUGGAAUUCCAGGUGUAGCGGUGAAAUGCGUAGAUAUCAAGCGGAACACCGGUGGCGAAGGCGGCCUUCUGGACAGUGACUGACGCUGAGGAGCGAAAGCGUGGGGAGCGAACAGG